UUCUUGCCAUUGUCGGACGGUUCCGGCCACUUCCGGGGAAGUCCUUGCCGCUCGCACGAAUAGUGCUCUCGAAACUGUGUCCGACCGAUGUUUCGGAUGGUUGGAUAAGCAGUGAAAAAAAAGUGACGGAAGAAAAAUGUCUUAUCGCAAAUAGUGCCGUCAGUGGUGUGGUUUUGCUGGUGGUCGACCCUAUUGCGUGGGGCCAGUUCUUGCCAAUUUAUGACGGGGUUAUUUGAUUAGUGAAGCGUGCCCGUGGUCCAAAUCGGGCGCAUUCUUGGAUCUAAAUAUUGAUUACGGUGCCGAGUGGCUGUUUUGUGUGUUGACAGUUCAGCAAUUUUUUUGGGUUGAUUUCAACCAAAAUCGGGUCAAACCAGAGAGUCUUAAAAUCCGCUACCAGAAGAAACAAGGCAGUACGAGCUGAAGCAGAAUAAUUAUUUUCGAUAACGGAGCUCGCAGCAUUUACUCACUCAGUGUUGUUUUUUUUUUUACUUUUUUGCAACGAAGAAUAAGAGUAGCGAAUCGCACAGCGGAAGAAAUAUAACAAUUUAUGGUCAGCACUGCGGCUUGCAUCAUGCUUUUUGAGGAUCUCACAUAAGCCCUGUCGACGCGGUCAGAACCAUGCAUGCAUUCAGAGUCCGCCCUGGGGUACUCGUGUCCCCGUAGUAGACCAAUGACCUGCCAGCCAGCAGCAGAAUUUGCAUCAGCCAACGAAGUUCAACGACUUCAACGCCAACCUGCAGCAACCUGUGAGAUUAUUAGCAAGAAAUCAGUGAGAUUCAAGUUUUUUUUGUUUGUUCGUGCGCGACAGUAGUCUAAGCCAAGGUUCAAACCCGCGAGCGGUGCUAAUCUAGUCAUUUUGGGAUCAAUCUCUCUCUCUCGCGUCAAGUUUUGCUCAAGCCCGAUUAAGUUCUUGACGGCGACGUUCGAUAUCGCAAGACCACGUGCGCGAGCCCGCGCCAGUGUGUGAGUAAUUAGUGAGGUGAGUUGGUGUCCGUGCUGGGACCGUCAAGUGGGGAGUCUCAGCUGUGUGGCGCUGACACAAUCCAGCAAACAGCAGUUUUUUGUCCGAACCCGCGUCGUCGAUACCGUCGAGUUCAGCCGAUAAUGAGUGAAUCGCGUCCAGCGAUUGCGUAAAACCAAACGGGGAAGCAAAUCGACGAACCCGACUCCGGGAAGUGUGUUCCGGAAGCGGUUCAGAGUGUGUGCAAUUUUUAGAGAAGUGAAACCCCUGAAGAAGAGUCGAAACCAAACGUAGAAGCGGCUCUCCAGCAGAAUCCAUCAUCAUGCCGGUGAAUGCCAUCGGAGGCGAACAGCUGAGCGGCAUCGAGGAAGAAUCGGACAUCUACGAAGCGUUCGCGCCCCAUGUGGACACGGCCAACAUCUCGGUCCUGACCGAUACUCCGCCAGG